rnacentral:snRNA from 1 species
GAGCUUACUAUAGCAGCACAUAUGCUAAAACAGGAAUAAUAUGGAAAAGAUUGGCAUGAUCCCUGAAUAAAGAUGAUACACAAUUUAUGAAGUGUUCCAUGUUUUU